rnacentral:rRNA from 1 species
GACUAAGCUGUCUCUUACGGAUAUUCAAUGAAAUUGAUCUUUCAGUCCAAAAGCUGAGAUACCUACACCAGACGAGAAGACCCUGUGGAGCUUACUAAACCAAUACCAACCCCCAUGGUUAUACGGUUUUUAGUUGGGGCGACUUCGGAGAACAAAAAAACCUCCAACUUGGAAAUUUUCCUAAUUAAGAUCUACACAUCUAAAUAUAUAACUUGACCCAGUAGGCAUUAUCCCUAUCUGACCAAGGAACCAAGUUACCCCAGGGAUAACAGCGCUAUCCUCUUUUAGAGUCCCUAUCGACAAGAGGGCUUACGACCUCGAUGU